GGGCGCCUUAGCUUUCUUGGCAGCCACGGAUGAACCGGCGGCAGCGCCGACGCGUGUGACAGUAACGGAGGUGUUGAAGUACUCACGGACCUGGGUGAUCACCCCAUCAACAACGGUCCAGGCGUGGACCCACAGGAGGGAGCGGUCCCUUCCUUUGCCCUCGACGAUCACCGUAUCCGGUCCGAUGGACUCGACCGAGAGGGGGACGAACUCAAACUUGGAGUCUGAAGCGCCGGUGAGGAGGCGCAUCAUGUGCUGG
rnacentral:misc_RNA from 1 species